AAGGAAUAUUGGUCAAUGGACGAAAGUCUGAACCAGCCAUGCCGCGUGGAGGAUGAAGGUCCUCUGGAUUGUAAACUUCUUUUCUAUGGGACGAAAAAAGGGUUUUCUAACUCGUCUGACGGUACCAUAUGAAUAAGCACCGGCUAACUCCGUGCCAGCAGCCGCGGUAAUACGGAGGGUGCAAGCGUUAUCCGGAUUCACUGGGUUUAAAGGGUGCGUAGGUGGGUUGGUAAGUCAGUGGUGAAAUCUCCGAGCUUAACUUGGAAACUGCCAUUGAUACUAUCAGUCUUGAAUAUUGUGGAGGUCAGCGGAAUAUGUCAUGUAGCGGUGAAAUGCUUAGAUAUGACAUAGAACACCAAUUGCGAAGGCAGCUGGCUACACAUCUAUUGACACUGAGGCACGAAAGCGUGGGGAUCAAAC
rnacentral:rRNA from 1 species